GAUGAACGCUAGCGGCAGGCCUAAUACAUGCAAGUCGAGGGGCAGCACAGGUAGCAAUACUGGGUGGCGACCGGCGCACGGGUGCGUAACACGUAUAUAAUCUGCCCUUAUCUGGGGGAUAGCCCGGAGAAAUCCGGAUUAAUACCCCAUAAUAUUAAUUGGAGAGCAUUCUUUGAUAAUUAAAGCUCAGGCGGAUGAGGAUGAAUAUGCGACUGUANAGUUAGUUGGUGAGGUAACGGCUCACCAAGACCACGAUCAGUAGGGGUACUGAGAGGUUAAACCCC
rnacentral:rRNA from 1 species